rnacentral:rRNA from 1 species
AUCUUCUUUGAAGGUAUGCUUAAGGAGGGGCUUGCGACACAUUAGUUAGUUGGCAGGGUAAAGGCCUACCAAGACUAUGAUGUGUAGCUGGACUGAGAGGUUGAACAGCCACAUUGGGACUGAGACACGGCCCAAACUCCUACGGGAGGCAGCAGUAGGGAAUUUUCGGCAAUGGAGGAAACUCUGACCGAGCAACGCCGCGUGAACGAUGAAGUACCUCGGUAUGUAAAGUUCUUUUAUUAAGGAAGAAAAAAGAGUGGAAAAACUCCCUUGACGGUACUUAAUGAAUAAGCCCCGGCUAAUUAUGUGCCAGCAGCCGCGGUAAUACAUAAGGGGCGAGCGUUAUCCGGAAUUAUUGGGCGUAAAGGGUGCGUAGGCGGUUUAAUAAGUCUAUAGUUUAAUUUCAGUGCUUAACGCUGUUGUGCUAUAGAAACUGUUUUACUAGAGUGAGAUAGAGGCAAGCGGAAUUCCAUGUGUAGCGGUAAAAUGCGUAAAUAUAUGGAGGAACACCAGAGGCGUAGGCGGCUUGCUGGGUCUUUACUGACGCUGAGGCACGAAAGCGUGGGGAGCAAACAGGAUUAGAUACCCUGGUAGUCCACGCCGUAAACGAUGAGUACUAAGUGUCGGGUAAAACUGGUACUGAAGUUAACACAUUAAGUACUCCGCCUGAGUAGUACGUACGCAAGUAUGAAACUUAAAGGAAUUGACGGGACUCC